rnacentral:rRNA from 1 species
GAUCCUGGCUCAGGGUGAACGCUAGCUACAGGCUUAACACAUGCAAGUCGAGGGGCAGCAUGUUGGUUGCUUGCAACCAACGAUGGCGACCGGCGCACGGGUGAGUAACGCGUAUCCAACCUUCCGCAUACUCGGGAAUAGCCUUUCGAAAGAAAGAUUAAUGCCCGAUGGUUUCCCGAAUCCGCAUGAGAGCGGGAAUAAAGAUUCAUCGGUAUGCGAUGGGGAUGCGUCCCAUUAG